AAGACCUUGCGCUUUUGGAGCGGCCGAUGCCUGAUUAGCUAGUUGGUGGGGUAAUGGCCUACCAAAGCUUCGAUCAGUAGCUGGUCUGAGAGGACGGCUAGCCACACUGGGACUGAGACACGGCCCAGACUCCUACGGGAGGCAGCAGUGGGGAAUUUUGGACAAUGGGCGCAAGCCUGAUCCAGCCAUGCCGCGUGAGUGAAGAAGGCCUUCGGGUUGUAAAGCUCUUUCAGCCGAGAAGAAAAGAUUGCGACUAAUAAUCGCAAUUCAUGACGGUACCGGCAGAAGAAGCACCGGCUAACUACGUGCCAGCAGCCGCGGUAAUACGUAGGGUGCGAGCGUUAAUCGGAAUUACUGGGCGUAAAGGGUGCGCAGGCGGUUUUGUAAGUCAGAUGUGAAAUCCCCGGGCUUAACCUGGGAACU
rnacentral:rRNA from 1 species